ensembl:lncRNA
UAUUUUUUAAAGAUGUUUAUUUUUCACUUUUCCCUCACAAAGUUGUCAAAUUACAAAUGUCACCUAAUCAAAGCAAAGGAUACUUACUAAAAAUAUGUUUUUUUUAUCAUCACUAGAAAUGUAAAAACCAGUAAAUAACAGCACAAAGCAAUGGUAUGAAGAACAGUAGUACAAUAGAGGUCAUAUAUUGUCACAUCAAUCAGUUUGGUCUUUAUAAGGUACUUGGGAAAUAAAUAGGAGAGGAGCUGUUAGACGCUCUAAGAAACACAUCCAAGUCCAUCCAAUGUUCACCACAGCACAGGCAGCAGGAUCACAGUUACAGUAGGAGAGGUGGGGCUGCGUUGCUAAUCUGAUUGAUGAAGCAUGGAUUCUCUAGCCUGGUCCCAGAUCUGUUCUGUUUUUACUAACCCUAUGGUGAGUCAGGACCAUAGGGGUCGACCAGACAGCAUAAAACUGAUCUGGGACCAGGCUAUGUCUCCAUAGGUCAAGCUCAUUCCAAGACAGAUACAGUCAAAAUUAAAAAAUUAAAAACAUUAUCUAUAUCUGCUAUUUUCUACUAUACUCAAUGUCGUGUUCAAUUUCAACAUAAUGUGUCCCUUGCAUACCUGCUGUGUUAAUGAAUUAUAAUAAUGGACUAUUGUUGCAUUGAAUUAAUAAUAUUACCGCAAUUAGCCCGACUAACCGGUGCCCCAGCACAUUGAUUCUGUACCAGUACCCCCUGUAUAUAGCCUCCACAUUGACUCUGUACCGGUACCCCCUGUAUAUAGACUCCACAUUGACUCUGUACCGGUACCCCCUGUAUAUAACCUCCACAUUGACUCUGUACUGGUACCCCCUGUAUAUAGACUCCACAUUGACUCUACAGGUACCCCCUGUAUAUAGCCUCCACAUUGACUCUAUACCGGUACCCCCUGUAUAUAGCCUCCACAUUGACUCUGUACCGGUACCCCCUGUAUAUAGCCUCCACAUUGACUCUGUACCAGUACCCCCUGUAUAUAGCCUCCACAUUGACUCUGUACCAGUACCCCCUGUAUAUAGCCUCGCUACUGUUAAUUUCACUUUCAUUGUAGUGUUUUUAAAUGUAUUUACUUGUCUAUUGUUUACAUAAUACCUAUUUUUUACUUAAAAAUUGCACUGUUGGUUAAGGGCUUGUAAAGUAAGGAUUUCACUGUAAGGUCUAGCUAGCUAGAUACCUAGCUAACUACUAGUGAUUUGUUACAGGUAACUAGCUAGCUAACUACUAGUGAUUUGUUACAGGUAUCUAGCUAGCUAACUACUUGCGAUUUGUUACAGGUAACUAGCUAGCUAACUACCUGUUGUAUUCGGCAGAUACACUUUUGAUUUGGUAGAGUGUGGUGCUUGCAACGCUUGUGGGUUCGAUUCCUAUGAUGGAUCAGUACAAAAAUGUAUGCAUUCACUUCUGUAAGUUGCUCUGCAUAAGAUCGUCUGCUAAAUGACUUUAAUGUAAGACCGUUCCCUGUAGCAUCUCCGUUAUAGGCCUGAAGAAAUGGUGCCACUUUAUAUGAAAUGUGUGAGCGCUAUUUUAUUUUAGCAACAUUCUUUACAACAAGAGUAUGUCUUAACCUACGUGUGACACCAAGACACAAUGUUUAAUGUGUAGUACUAACUACACAAGCCUCUUAAGUCAUUUGUCUUGGAAGCAGCAUUGUUGUGGGGUGAUAGGGGACAAGAGGCUAAUCUGCCCUGGAUAAGCCUGUGGUGUAGCGGCCUUAGCCUCCUAGUGUCGGGGUUUGGGAGGGGGCACUGGGUCCAUACACCCAGCAAUAGGUCCUCCUCACCUCUCCGUCAUGAUAGCGGAUAUGUGGUGGGAGUUGAUUUUCCAAAAUGGCCGCCAUGCUACACAAUGGUGGUGGAUGAGGUGACUCGCCCCCCCUCCCCCUUUUUUGCUUUGUAAUGCGUCUGGAAAAGCUCAAUAUAAAUCCAAUCUAUUAUUAUGAUUUAUUAUAUGGAUAAUUGUGAUGUUGAAUGACUAAAGUGCAAGCUCGCUGCUUUAUAAUGUGCCCUAUAGACUCACCAUGGGACUCUCACUGCACAUGAGCAAAGGCUUUUUUAACAAUUUUUUUAUUUAUUUAUUUAGAAAUAAAAAGAUUUUACGUUUUUCUCUGUAAAACCCUCGUUUUAAAUACACAUUUUUGCUUUACAGGUUAUUUAGCGCCAUAGAAAUAAAAAAUAAAAUCUUUCAAAUUGUAUUUUUAAAAAUGUUUCUUCUUUGUGGAUUAAAAACAUUUCCCCUUGUACAUUCUUAUAAAGGUAUGUAAUGUAAUGUAUACGAGGCAGGAGAGUUAAAGAAGUUUGACAUUAUGUUUUCUAUCUGUGAUAGACUUCUCCAAUCUCCAGCGAUGGACUGGGUGCCAUUAUCAUCACCAUAAUAAUGCUUUUUCAUUUGGUUUUCAGUGAGCUUCUUUGAUACGGCACCUGUAAGGCACCUAGCUAGCGAACUACUAGUGAUUUGUUACAGGUACCUAGCUAGCUAACUACUAGUGAUUUGUUACAGGUACCUAGCUAGCUAACUACUAGUGAUUUGUUACAGGUAUCUAGCUAGCU